ACGGGAGGCAGCAGUGGGGAAUAUUGCACAAUGGGGGAAACCCUGAUGCAGCGACGCCGCGUGAGUGAAGAAGUAUUUCGGUAUGUAAAGCUCUAUCAGCAAGGAAGAUAAUGACGGUACUUGACUAAGAAGCCCCGGCUAACUACGUGCCAGCAGCCGCGGUAAUACGUAGGGGGCAAGCGUUAUCCGGAUUUACUGGGUGUAAAGGGAGCGUAGACGGUUUGGCAAGUCUGAAGUGAAAGCCCGGGGCUCAACCCCGGUAUUGCUUUGGAAACUGUUGAACUAGAGUGCAGGAGGGGUAAGCGGAAUUCCUAGUGUAGCGGUGAAAUGCGUAGAUAUUAGGAGGAACACCAGUGGCGAAGGCGGCUUACUGGACGGUAACUGACGUUGAGGCUCGAAAGCGUGGGGAGCAAACAGGAUUAGAUACCCUGGUA
rnacentral:rRNA from 1 species